UUAACAAAAACAUGGCCUUUUGAUAAUAAUUUAAGGUCUAAUCUGCCCACUGAUUUAUUAAAUGGCCGCGGUAUUUUGACCGUGCAAAGGUAGCAUAAUAAUUAGUUUUUUAAUUAGAAGCUGGAAUGAAUGAUUUGAUGAGAAAAUUACUGUCUCAAUUUAAUUUUUUUAGAAUUUUAUUUUUAAGUUAAAAAGCUUAAAUUUAUUUAAAAGACGAGAAGACCCUAUAGAGUUUGAUAAUUUAUUUAAUUUAUUAAAAUAUAGUUUUAAUUUUUUUAGAUUAUUUAAUUAUUUUGUUGGGGUGAUAGAAAAAUUUAAUUAACUUUUUUUAUAUUAGUUCACUAAUAAGUGUUUUUUUGAUCCAAAUUUUUUGAUUAUAAGAUUAAAUUACCUUAGGGAUAACAGCGUAAUUUUUUUUGAGAGUUCUUAUCGAAAAANNAGAUUGCGACCUCGAUGUUGGAAUAAAGUUNNNUUUUGGUGNAGAAGCUAANNUAUUAGGUCUGUUCGACCUUUA
rnacentral:rRNA from 1 species